UUUUUCCUACGGGAGGCAGCAGUGGGGAAUAUUGCGCAAUGGGCGAAAGCCUGACGCAGCGACGCCGCGUGAGGGAUGAAGGUCUUCGGAUCGUAAACCUCUGUCAGCAGGGAAGAACGGUCACUGUGCUAAUCAGCAGUGAAUUGACGGUACCUGAGUAAGAAGCCCCGGCUAACUACGUGCCAGCAGCCGCGGUAAUACGUAGGGGGCAAGCGUUAUCCGGAUUUACUGGGUGUAAAGGGAGCGUAGACGGCAGUGCAAGUCUGGAGUGAAAGGCGGGGGCUCAACCCCCGGACUGCUCUGGA
rnacentral:rRNA from 1 species